rnacentral:lncRNA from 1 species
GGACGCGGAUACAGACGCCUGAAGCCCCGGGGCUGCUUUUUCCGACUCGACGGCUCUGUGCCUCCGCGCAUCUCCCCCUCCCCACCUCCCACGGCCCACCUCCCCCUUCCUCCUUCCCCUCCCUCCUCCUCUCUCCCACCUCCCUAAAGAAGACCACAACUUGGGUUGAAUGCGGGGGAAAGGUGCGCCUUCCUCCCACCCUCCCCUACCUGCGUCGCGGGCCCUCCUGUCUCGGAGGCGUCCUCUGGAUUGUCGCCUCGGUGUAUCUAUCACCGGCCAAGGGAUUGGGGCCCAAACGGCGGUUCCACCAAAGCCCGAGAAGCCGGUUUCUUUUGCAGCGGUGUUCAACCUCGCUCUUUGGGCACAUCCACCAAGUCCAACUUGUGUUUUAGCUCAUUUCCUUCCAGCUAACGGGCACUUUCAUCUUCUGGCAAGGGAGCUGGGUUGUCUUGAGAUGCAAAGGGAAGGACCGGAAAGAAUAAUUUUGCCUGCACUGUUAGACCAGCACUGUGAGACCAGUAGAUGUCAGCAUAAGAACACAAUCCUCCUGAUUUCCGGUUCACCUAGAUGA